UACUCGCUGGGCUUUUAAAAGGGCGCUCGCGUGCGCCACCUGCUGCACGGACAGCGGUGAGGGCGCGAGCCAGAUCACCCAAAUCUCACACUCGUCGCAACCUGCUCAAUAUACAUACACUCUGCCUGCACGUAUUUUAGGAACACCUGUACACACUCGUGCAGGUGUCCAUCAUGUGGCCUCAGUGCAGUGCAUAAACAUAAUGGAGAUCAGAUACGGGUCACGAGCUUAACGUUCAUCUUAAAGAUGAAAAAAUGUGAACUCAUUCAUUCGGACUGUGGCAUGAUUGUUAGUGCCAACCCGGCUGGAUCGAGAAAUUUGAGUAACUGCUGAUCUGAGAUUUUCACAUCCAACUGUCUCUAGAGUUUACAUAGAUUGGUGAAGAAAAACAAACUAGUGAGCAUCAGUUCUGCAGGCAGAAACACUGUUGGUGAGAGAGGUCAAUGGAAAUUGGCCAGACAUUUUUUUUUCCACCUACAGGUGAAGCAGGCCCAGGUGCGACAGCGGAAAGCCACGUUGGAAUCGUCACGGACUGACGCUCACCUGUCCCAGGUAAAUUCGCGGCAUGAAACAAAUCAGAGAUCCUGGAGAACGACUUCAGGAGCCUGGUUGAGAAGGUACGCAGAACAUCACCCAUGACGAGGAUCACUGUGUAAGGACCACUGCCCACGUUCCAGUGAGGAAUCGAGAGGUUCAGUAGGCUAUUUGCUUUUAAUGAAUGGUUACAGUCAUAGUGUGAAGAUCAGAAAUUACCCUUUGUUGAUAACUGGAAUGUUUUUUGGGAGCAUCCUAGGCUCUACCAUACUAAUGGCCUGCACCCUAGCAGAGUUGGAGCAGCAGUCCUCUCGCACAACAUUUCCAGGACACUACGCACCAUCUGACUGAUAUAUGCAGAAUUCUACAGAGUUACUGGAGUUGAUCUCAGGCAGAUCUUUCUUAGUUACUUGGACUCACUUGCACCACGAUUGAUAAAGCUCUAUAGAUCAAGAAGUGGAGCCUUGGGAGGAGAAACUCAAAUACUCCUAGACAGACUUGAUGAACGGACCACUGCUAUCCUGACACACAGGAUAAUCACACGCAAAUCUGCAGCACUUUGUGGCCUUCCCUUGUUUCUGAGAGAAAAGGAGGGCAAUCUACUGAGAACGUAUCUGGUAAUAUUUUUUAUCUUAUCCGUCAUGUCUAACAUGGCUGGCCU